GUAGCAAGCUAAGUGGGCUUGAUUGUGGGGAAAACUCCGCAGCUAAGCGCGCUUGAGCCAGAGGCGUCUUGGGAUGGGUGACCACUUGGGAAGGUCUGGUUACUGGGUGCA
rnacentral:rRNA from 1 species